GUCCGCAAGGACAGUGGCAGACGAGGUAGUAAGGCGCAGGUACAUCCCCCGGAGUCGGGCAUAGCUAGCCGAAAGGUUAGGUAAUUCCCGAUGGCCUCGUAAAAGUAAAGUCCCGCUCUUUCUUCGGAAAGGGCGGGACGCUCCGGGACUGGCCUGUGUAAUAUCAGCUAGUUGGUGAGGUAAUGGCUCACCAAGGCUACGACGUUUAGGGGAGCUGAGAGGCUGACCCCCACCGAUGGGACUGCGAUACGGCCCAUACUCCUACGGGAGGCUGCAGGCGAGAAUAUUCCGCAAUGGGCGAAAGCCUGACGGAGCGACGCCGCGUGAUGGAUGAAGUGCUUCGGUACGUAAACAUCUUUUAUCGGGGAAGAAAUAAUUGACGGUACCCGAUGAAUAAGGGGCUCCUAACUCUGUGUACGUG
rnacentral:rRNA from 1 species